UUCUUGUAUAUAUUUGUGAUUCUGACUGCACUGACAUCAAUGUUGUUUUUGAACAGAGACUACUUGGGAGCGGCCAAGCAGUGUGCCUGGGACACCAAAGAGCCCUGUGACACAGAAGAACUCCUUGCCUACAGUGAAUGGGUAUCACAUACCAGGAACUUUGGUACCCCAACUAGAACCAAGCCACAUGAGUCUCCGCAAAGUCACCAGUGACCCCCAGGUAAGCACAGGAAAUAUUCCUGGAUAUAGAUGAAGGCUUUUAUUUUCUAUGAUUGUUUAGAAAUAGUGCAGUGGGAUGAAGGACUGAAAGCAGUCUUCGUUCACUUAGAUGUGCAGCAGUGAUAGUUCAGUCUUUUAGUCCAAAUUGUGCUGUGAACCUCAAAGUCCUUGUAUUCCUGAACACUCUCUCUCCCUCCCCCUCCCCUCCCCCCCUCCCCCUUCUAUUUUUAUCACUGGAAGCUCUUAUUGAUCUUUCUCAACUUUAGCCAUCUAUGAUCAUUUUGUAGUAUGGAGUUUUUCGGGCUAGGUACCCAACGUGCUUUCUUUUUUGUCAACAUUGAAUGGGAAUUUGUUGCACUUCUUGCAGCUGUUUAAGUGAGCAUCCUCUUGCUAUUGUAGCAUGAGACACUAUAAUCAAGAUGAUUUUUAUUAUCCAUGCAUUCUUUCCUAAAUCUUGGAAGAUUACAGCUAUAUUUCAUAGCAAUGCAUUCC
rnacentral:lncRNA from 1 species